rnacentral:rRNA from 1 species
UACGGAGGGUGCAAGCGUUAUCCGGAUUUACUGGGUUUAAAGGGUGCGUAGGUGGAUAAUUAAGUCAGUGGUGAAAUCUUCAGGCUUAACCUGGAAACUGCCAUUGAUACUAUUUAUCUUGAAUACUUUGGAGGUAAGCGGAAUAUGUCAUGUAGCGGUGAAAUGCUUAGAUAUGACAUAGAACACCAAUUGCGAAGGCAGCUUACUACACAGUAAUUGACACUGAGGCACGAAAGCGUGGGGAGUCAAACAG